ensembl:lncRNA
GGCUAGAGCUCGGCGUCAGAGGUGCCGGAUCGGGGACCCUGUGGACGCGCGCGCGGAGCCCGAGGGGGAAGGGGAGCGGGAAGGAGCGAGGUGAGAACCGAGGGGCGGGGCGCGAGGGCCGAGCCAGACUCCGAGACGCCAAGGCGACGCCAGGGGGGCGAUGGAGCCCAGGAGGCCGCGCGACAGCGGAGACGACGCACCGGCCGACUCCCGAGCCCGGGAGGAGGAAAGCGCGCGGAGAAGAAUGCAGACGAGAGACGCAGAGACGGAGGGGACAGAAGCAGAGACGCGGAGCGGGCAAGGAAGCGCGCGGCCGGCCGGGAGGGGGCAGCGAGACCCCGCGGAGUCCCGCAAUUCGGGGCUGGGUCGCCCGCAUCCCAGAAGCCCCCACCCCCUCGCACACCGAGUCUCCCGGGGAUGGAGAGGGCCCUUCGGACCGGUCUGUCUCUCCAGAAGGAGCCUCUCCCCAACACGCCCUCCAGGGGUCUCCCCACCCCGCCCCCCCCCAGCCUUAGUCACCGCCCCCCACUUUAGUCUUAGUGUCGGCGCCAGGGGCCGAGAGCGUCAAGGAGGUUCCGAGACACCGCACACGCGAACCCAGGGCCGGAUGGGUGGCCGCAGGGCUUAGUCCCCCGAACCCGCAGCAGGGUCGGACCUGAGACCUGGGCUGCAGGGGUUGCAGGAGACCCCGGUCCGCGAGCGACUCCCACCGCGAAGGCCGGGAGGCGGCGCCAGCGACCCCCGGCAGUGCAGACCGGUCUUCUGCGGCUCUCGGAGGCCUCCCGGGCGGGGGUGAUGGCGGCACCGGCGUUCAGGACCCAGAGGGCCGCCAGGGCCAGUAGGAGAGCGAUGUGGGCAGGGACAGGUUCCCGGAGACAGAGAGGUUGAAGACUUAAUGAAGCAUUGUCUGCGGAGACCGAAUAAAUGGGUUUUAAUGCGCCCUUCGAGUAAGGAUGGGGAGGGAAAAAAAGCAAGCGGGGUGCAAACAAGGUCAGAUCCGAAGGAAAUAAACCUGUAACGAAAAUGGCCCCGGGCGGAGAAUCCGCUGCUAGGAAUACACACCCGUGACGUUUCUGCGAAGUCAGUUGUUAAAGCAUUUUUAUUAUGGAAGUUUUCAAAUACAAAACAAAGUAGAGAUAGCCUUGAAAUGAACACCCCACCCUCCCAUGUACCCACCUCCAUUCAACAACGAUCAAUGCCCGGCUAACCCUGUGUGUCUCACUUUCGUAUUUACUAUUCAAUUAAUUUGUUUGUUCUUGUUGCCAUACUUUUCAAAGAAACAUCACAUCAUUUUACUGAUAAAUACUUGAGUGCAUGUCAACUGAUAAGAAUUUUUUUUUAAAUUAACAAUACAUCUGUAAAUCGCCUCACAAUCCACAGCUUCAUCUCACACUCAGAAGCAGUUGGCUUUUGAUGGU